UACGGAGGGUGCGAGCGUUGUCCGGAAUCACUGGGCGUAAAGGGCGCGUAGGUGGCGCGAGGAGUCUGUGGUGAAAGCCCGAGCUCAACUUCGGGUCGGCCGCGGAUACUCUCGUGCUGGAGGGUGGUAGAGGCCAAUGGAAUUCCGGGUGUAGCGGUGAAAUGCGCAGAUAUCAGGAGGAACACCAAUGGCGAAGGCAGCUCGCUGGGACGGUACUGACGCUGAGACGCGAAAGCGUGGGGAGCAAACAGG
rnacentral:rRNA from 1 species